UGUCAUAGUAUAGUAAGGCGUCAAAAAAUGUCAUAGUAUAGUAAGGCGUCAAAAAAUGUCAAAAAAUGUCAUAGUAUAGUAAGGUGUCAAAAAAUGUCAUAGUAUAGUAAGGCGUCAAAAAAUGUCGAAAAAUGUCAUAGUAUAGUAAGGUGUCAAAAAAUGUCGAAAAAUGUCAUAGUAUAGUAAGGCGUCAAAAAAUGUCAAAAAAUGUCAUAGUAUAGUAAGGCGUCAAAAAAUGUCAUAGUAUAGUAAGGCGUCAAAAAAUGUCGAAAAAUGUCAUAGUAUAGUAAGGUGUCAAAAAAUGUCGAAAAAUGUCAUAGUAUAGUAAGGUGUCAAAAAAUGUCGAAAAAUGUCAUAGUAUAGUAAGGUGUCAAAAAAUGUCGAAAAAUGUCAUAGUAUAGUAAGGCGUCAAAAAAUGUCGAAAAAUGUCAUAGUAUAGUAAGGUGUCAAAAAAUGUCGAAAAAUGUCAUAGUAUAGUAAGGUGUCAAAAAAUGUCGAAAAAUGUCAUAGUAUAGUAAGGUGUCAAAAAAUGUCGAAAAAUGUCAUAGUAUAGUAAGGUGUCAAAAAAUGUCAGUAUAGUAAGGUGUCAAAAAAUGUCAAAAAAUGUCAUAGUAUAGUAAGGCGUCAAAAAAUGUCAUAGUAUAGUAAGGCGUCAAAAAAUGUCAUAAUAUAGUAAGGUGUCAAAAAAUGUCAAAAAAUGUCAUAGUAUAGUAAGGUGUCAAAAAAUGUCAUAGUAUAGUAAGGCGUCAAAAAAUGUCAUAGUAUAGUAAGGCGUCAAAAAAUGUCAAAAAAUGUCAUAGUAUAGUAAGGCGUUAAAAAAUGUCAAAAAAUUUCAUAGUAUAGUAAGGCAUCAAAAAAUGUCGAAAAAUGUCAUAGUAUAGUAAGGCGUCAAAAAAUGUCAUAGUAUAGUAAGGUGUCAAAAAAUGUCAAAAAAUGUCAUAAUAUAGUAAGGCGUCAAAAAAUGUCAAAAAAUGUCAUAGUAUAGUAAGGUGUCAAAAAAUGUCGAAAAAUGUCAUAGUAUAGUAAGGCGUCAAAAAAUGUCAUAGUAUAGUAAGGCGUCAAAAAAUGUCAAAAAAUGUCAUAAUAUAGUAAGCCAUCAAAAAAUGUCGAAAAAUGUCAUAGUAUAGUAAGGCGUCAAAAAAUGUCGAAAAAUGUCAUAGUAUAGUAAGGCGUCAAAAAAUGUCGAAAAAUGUCAUAGUAUAGUAAGGUGUCAAAAAAUGUCGAAAAAUGUCAUAGUAUAGUAAGGUGUCAAAAAAUGUCAAAAAAUGUCAUAGUAUAGUAAGGUGUCAAAAAUGGUCAAAAAAUGUCAUAAGGUAUCAAAAAAUGUGAAAAAAUGUCAUAGUAUAGUAAGGCGUCAAAAAAUGUCAGUAUAGUAAGGCACCAAAAAUGGUCAAAAAAUGUCAUAGUAUAUAGUAAGGCGUCAAAAAAUGUCAUAGUAUAGUAAGGCGUCAAAAAAUGUGAAAAAAUAUCAGUAUAAUAAGGCAUCAAAAAACGUGAAAAAACGUCAUAGUAAGGUGUCAAGAAUGGUAAAAAAAUGUCAUAGUAUAGUAAGGUGUCAAAAAUGUCAUAGCAUAGUAAGGCGUCAAAAAAUGUGAAAAAAUGUCAGUAUAGUAAGGGGUCAAAAAAUGUCAGUAUAGUAAGGCGUCAAAAAUGGUCAAAAAAUGUCAUAGUAUAGUAAGGUGUCAAGUAACGUGAAAAAAUGUCAUAGUAUAGUAAGGUGUCAAAAAUGGUCAAAAAAUGUCAUAAGGUGUCAAAAAAUGUCAUAUUAUAUAGUAAGGCGU